CAGUCGCCGCGGUAAUACGUAGGGUGCGAGCGUUAAUCGGAAUUACUGGGCGUAAAGCGUGCGCAGGCGGUUGUGUAAGACAGGUGUGAAAUCCCCGGGCUUAACCUGGGAACUGCGCUUGUGACUGCACAGCUAGAGUAUGGCAGAGGGGGGUGGAAUUCCACGUGUAGCAGUGAAAUGCGUAGAGAUCGGGAGGAACAUCAGUGGCGAAGGCGGCCAUCUGGGACAACACUGACGCUGAGGCACGAAAGCGUGGGGAGCAAACAGGAUUAGAUACCCCCGUAGUCCCUGUCUCUUAUAA
rnacentral:rRNA from 1 species